rnacentral:lncRNA from 1 species
GAACACCAAUAGCAGCGUUGGAGCCUCUGGGCCGGAGGAACUGGGGCCUCCACCGACACCUUGAUAGAGAAGGGACAGGGAACAGAACCUUCGCCCCCCGCCUGAGCAGCUGGUAGACUAGAUAUCUUCCAAACAUUAUCUCAUUUACUUCCCUGGAGUUACAAAUAGGUAGAUUUCAUGUCCGUUGAGGGGUGAGAAAGCUGAAACUUUGAGACUUAAGAAUCCUGGCCGAGGUCAGCCUCCUCCGAAGCUUCAUCUCUUGCCACCACUUUCUGGUGCACACCUAGGACAGAUUUCAAUCCCUGAGAUCCCAGGAUGAAACCUAUGUUUGCCAAAUACCAGCUACUGUGCCAGAAGAGAUCAUGGAACCAGGUGUGGAAAGCUGCUUGAGAAGAGGAGCCAAAACAUCAUAGUUGAACCGUCCUGGAAUAGAAGGCGUAUGAGAGUUCCAGUUCCUCUGCUUCCUCACCAACAGUUGGUAGGUCAGUUUUUUUAAAUUUAGUCAUUCUUAUAGACUCGCCCUGAAUUCUUUCUUGUGUGAAAUCCAAGAGCCCUCUCUUGGGGUUGGAUCGGGACCCUGUUCCUGUAACAAGUCCACAAUGCCAGAGAAUUAAAGAGAACCACAAAGGAAAAAGAUAACAAGCAGAAUCAGCAAAGAGAAUGAACCUCAAAAAGUUAGCCUGGCGAGGGGAGGAUGAUGAGAUUUCCCCUGUUGUCACAUAAACAAGGAAGUAAAGGGGGCCCCUUGUGCUCUCAGAACUCCAAGCAUGAAACGAUGGCAAAGGGAAAAACAGCUAAGUGUUUCCUGGCUGAAUUUUAUUUUGCUUUCAGUUUCUGCCAUUUCAGUUCCUGUUAUCGUGCUUUGAGGUGCACUGAACUGCAGCAAACCCAGGGGAUCCAAGGCUACGUUGAAAAGCCUUUGACCACAGUGCAGGGAGCAGAAGACAUUAAUGACGUGAUGUCGACACAGCCCGCACUCAGGAUCCUCCAGGAAAAGAACACAGAGAUAACCCCGGAUCGAUGGUACUUUUUGAAAAUGCUUUAUUGCAAAAGAGUGGCUAGGGUUUUACAAGGGCUAUGAAGAAACAUAUUAAGGUUAAUAAAGCUUUUUAUUGAGUGUUUACUGUUUCUAAGAACAAGGACUGCAAUUCGAUGGUAUAUAACUCAGCACUAACCUUUGGUAUGGGUGGCUAUGUCACAGAGUUAUUUAGAGAAUUUGCUCAAGCUAAAUG